GCGGCAGAGGGGGCUUCCAGGGGAAGAGAAUGGCUUGGCCAGGGAGGGGCGGGUCCUCCUCAGGGCUGGGUCCUCCGUGGGGCCAGGCACCCCCAGCCCAGCGCAUGGGGAGCAGCCGGGAGAAGGGACCAUCCCCAUGAAUGGCUGAGCCCAGGAGGGUGUCCAGCCCAGGCCCAGCACACCUGGGGGCAGGCGGCCAGCCUUUCUGGUCUUUGACCCUGAAAGCUGCAGCUCCCAGCCCAUCAGCUUGAUCUUCUCCCCAAAACCAUUCUCUGGGUUACUUGGUCUGGGCUGCCAGGCUGCCGGGACAGCCCCCUCUCCUGGGAGUUGCACCGCCACCCACCCAAAAGCAGUAAGGGUCCCCCACAGGGGGUAGAGUGGGCUGGGGGCACCUUCUCUGCAGGUUCCAGGCCUGGGAUUCUGGAAGGGGAUUUAAAGGGGCACCAGUGGAGCCUGGAUCGCAGCCGGAGAGACGGCAGAAUGCGUACUGGCUGUAGGAGAUGCAGCGGCCGGAACAGGAACAAGGGAGGGGCUCUCGGGCCUGGGCACCUGUCAGCCGGAUGGGGCAGGGCCGACCAGGAUAUCUGGCCGUGGCUGCCCCUCUGGAGGAGCGAAGAAGAGGGAAGAGAGGACAAGUGGUUCUGGAGGACUUCCUGGAGGAGGUGGGGUAGAGAUUUGCAUAGUCAACAAAGGAGGAAGCUUUCAAGAACACUGUGGGAGGCUUGGUGGGCGUCUCUCUGCCAUGAUGGACCCCGCGACGCAUACAUAGCUGUGUUUGAAGCUAAUGUAGCGACUCACCUGAAGUGGGGUCCUUCCGGAAUGUGAAGUCUCCACCAGGUGGACCUUCUGACCGCACCUCCACCCUCAUACUGGCAGGGCGGGCACUGGGAAGGCCUGGGCAGUUCCCAUGCCCUCUGCCUGGCAAAGACACUUGCCUCUUUAUGGAAGCAGAUGCAGAAAGACCGCACAAGCUCUCUGAGCAAUUUCCAGCUGGUGGCUUCUAAAGAGAACAUGACACCGCCCGCAUCUGCCUGCCCAGACGCUGAGUUAUCACCGGCGGAAUAAACCACAUCCAAAUUGUGCCUGUAGCCGAGUCCUGUGGGAGGAUCCCCGGUGCAGACACGGUCCAACAAGACAAGAUUCCUUGGGGGCCUCGGGGCCGGUGUUUCCCCCCACGGCGGAUGAGGGCCUCUGUGGCCUGUGGGCAAUGGAGGCAAUGCCCCAAAGGGAGCUGGCUCCUUCCACCCUCUCGUUCCUCUGUGCCGGUCACAUCCAAGAAAACGUCUUCUUAGUGACAGCCCAUCUCCAGCACCUGUCUGACACUCGCCAGUGUCCCUUUACAAACAAGGAAAGAGCAGGUCUAAGGCUCAGGGGCCCUUCGCAGGCAGCAGUGUUUGGCUAAAAUCAAAUACCACUUUCUCUUUUACCUAUUUUUUAUGGUAACCUCUCUAUGGUAAUGACACAGAUUUACCUUUUAAAAACUAAACUCACUCUUUUAGUAAAAUACAUAAAUUGCUCAGAGGAACAAAAUGUGUAAAUAAUGGUUUCAAGGAAUAAAAUCCAAAAUGAAGUUUGGAAACACCAAGUCUGACCCUGCUUCUGACAUUUGAAAUGCUUUCACAGCAUCACCGUCAGAAGAUCGGCUAGUUCUGCUCACACACCUCCCGUGACGGGGAGCUCACUACCUACAAAAGGCAUCUCCAUUCGGCUCUCCUGGGAAAUGCUGCUCCCAGCAGCUUCCACACUGAGCCCGGGUCUGCAGGGCAGCUCAAUUCCCUGUCCUCAUGGGGAAAUCUUCAUGGAGCGGGCACCCGUCCACUCCCAGCAGCCUCCUCUGCCAGGCAGAACGGCCGACUCCCCAGCAGUUCCUCAUCCUCUUGGAGGGAACUUCUCCAACCAGGAACAACAGUUGCUGGUUUUCUACUCUUAAAGGGUAGUGCCAGGAGCGGAGACCAGUCUUCUAGGAGUAACUGGACCUCGCCCCAGCUUCCAGGAGUGGAGGCAUGGAGGCGGCCGGGAGCCCUGCAGACAUCACCAGGGACUCCCAGGACCAGAUGUGAGUGGGCAAAAGCCCAGCACCGAAGGAAGAGCAUUUCACAAAUAACUGUGUGAACGGGACAUUCUCCCAUAAGCCCCAGCACCUCCUUCUCUGGCUCUGGCUCCCCACCCCCGCACAGGAAGAGGCCAGCCUCUUGCAUCUCCUUUGUGGUUCCACGGGCUUUACCAGGCUCAGGUCACACUGGUCAUUUCUCCCUCACCCAACUUAUCUCAGGAUUCAAAUACACAAACGCACACACACACACACACACACACACACACACACACGGUUGA